GGAUUUGCAGCUUUGUUUCAUUGAUUUUAACAAUGGUAGGAAGGUGAUGGUGACUCUUGACAUGACAUGUUUGAAAUGUGGGAUAUAUCCUUCAGACAUCUUUCCAUGUCAGCUACAAGCUUCCGUUUCUGGGACAUACAUCUCACUGCCUGAGUCACUAUCAGCUAAAAUAAAAGCUGCAGUUGAUGGUCUUAGAGUUGGGUAUUCAAGGAUUAUGAGG
rnacentral:misc_RNA from 1 species